AUUGAACGCUGGCGGCAGGCCUAACACAUGCAAGUCGAGCGAGCGGCGGACGGGUGAGUAAUGUCUGGGAAACUGCCCGAUGGAGGGGGAUAACUACUGGAAACGGUAGCUAAUACCGCAUACCAUCAGAUGAACCCAUAUGGGAUUAGCUAGUAGGUGGGGUAAAGGCUCACCUAGGCGACGAUCCCUAGCUGGUCUGAGAGGAUGAACAGCCACACGGGAACUGAGACACGGCCCAGACUCCUACGGGAGGCAGCAGUGGGGAAUAUUGCACAAUGGGCGCAAGCCUGAUGCAGCCAUGCCGCGUGUAUGAAGAAGGCCUUAGGGUUGUAAAGUACUUUCAGCGGGGAGGCGUUACUCGCAGAAGAAGCACCGGCUAACUCCGUGCCAGCAGCCGCGGUAAUUC
rnacentral:rRNA from 1 species